GAUGAACGCUGGCGGCGUGCCUAAUACAUGCAAGUCGAGCGAACAGACGAGGAGCUUGCUCCUCUGACGUUAGCGGCGGACGGGUGAGUAACACGUGGAUAACCUACCUAUAAGACUGGGAUAACUUCGGGAAACCGGAGCUAAUACCGCAUAAUAUAUUGAACCGCAUGGUUCAAUAGUGAAAGACGGCUUUGCUGUCACUUAUAGAUGGAUCCGCGCCGCAUUAGCUAGUUGGUAAGGUAACGGCUUACCAAGGCAACGAUGCGUAGCCGACCUGAGAGGGUGAUCAGCCACACUGGAACUGAGACACGGUCCAGACUCCUACGGGAGGCAGCAGUAGGGAAUCUUCCGCAAUGGGCGAAAGCCUGACGGAGCAACGCCGCGUGAGUGAUGAAGGUCUUCGGAUCGUAAAACUCUGUUAUUAGGGAAGAACAAAUGUGUAAGUAACUAUGCACGUCUUGACGGUACCUAAUCAGAAAGCCACGGCUAACUACGUG
rnacentral:rRNA from 1 species